rnacentral:misc_RNA from 1 species
GAUGAAGAACGCAGCGAAAUGCGAUACGUAAUGUGAAUUGCAAAUUCAGUGAAUCAUCGAGUCUUUGAACGCACAUUGCGCCCCCUGGUAUUCCGGGGGGCAUGCCUGUCCGAGCGUCAUUGCUGCCCUCAAGCACGGCUUGUGUGUUGGGCCCCGUCCUCCGAUCCCGGGGGACGGGCCCGAAAGGCAGCGACGGCACCGCGUCCGGUCCUCGAGCGUAUGGGGCUUUGUCACCCGCUCUGUAGGCCCGGCCGGCGCUUGCCGAUCAACCCAAAUUUUUAUCCAGGUUGACCUCGAAUCAGGUAGGGAUACCCGCUGAACUUAAGCAUAUCAAUAAGCGGAGGA